rnacentral:rRNA from 1 species
GCUGACGAGUGGCGGACGGGUGAGUAAUGUCUGGGAAACUGCCUGAUGGAGGGGGAUAACUACUGGAAACGGUAGCUAAUACCGCAUAACGUCGCAAGACCAAAGAGGGGGACCUUCGGGCCUCUUGCCAUCGGAUGUGCCCAGAUGGGAUUAGCUAGUAGGUGGGGUAACGGCUCACCUAGGCGACGAUCCCUAGCUGGUCUGAGAGGAUGACCAGCCACACUGGAACUGAGACACGGUCCAGACUCCUACGGGAGGCAGCAGUGGGGAAUAUUGCACAAUGGGCGCAAGCCUGAUGCAGCCAUGCCGCGUGUAUGAAGAAGGCCUUCGGGUUGUAAAGUACUUUCAGCGGGGAGGAAGGGAGUAAAGUUAAUACCUUUGCUCAUUGACGUUACCCGCAGAAGAAGCACCGGCUAACUCCGUGCCAGCAGCCGCGGUAAUACGGAGGGUGCAAGCGUUAAUCGGAAUUACUGGGCGUAAAGCGCACGCAGGCGGUUUGUUAAGUCAGA